rnacentral:tRNA from 2 species
GCCCUAGUGGCGCAAUUGGUAGACGCGGUCGGCUCAAACCCGGCUUGUUGUGGGUUCGAGUCCCACCUGGGGUA